rnacentral:misc_RNA from 1 species
GAACGCACAUUGCGCCCCUUGGUAUUCCGAGGGGCAUGCCUGUUCGAGCGUCAUUUCAACCCUCAAGCACAGCUUGGUCUUGGGCUUCGCCGCUAACCCGGCGGGUCUUAAAAUCAGUGGCGGUGCCGUCGGGCCCUGAGCGCAGUAAUCUCUCUCGCUAUAGGGUCCCGGUGGAUGCUAGCCAGUAACCCCCAAUUUUCUAUGGUUGACCUCGGAUCAGGUAGGGAUACCCGCUGAACUUAAG